UGGGGAAUUUUGGACAAUGGGGGAAACCCUGAUCCAGCCAUCCCGCGUGUGCGAUGAAGGCCUUCGGGUUGUAAAGCACUUUUGGCAGGAAAGAAACGUCAUGGGUUAAUACCCCGUGAAACUGACGGUACCUGCAGAAUAAGCACCGGCUAACUACGUGCCAGCAGCCGCGGUAAUACGUAGGGUGCAAGCGUUAAUCGGAAUUACUGGGCGUAAAGCGUGCGCAGGCGGUUCGGAAAGAAAGGUGUGAAAUCCCAGAGCUCAACUUUGGAACUGCAUUUUUAACUACCGGGCUAGAGUGUGUCAGAGGGAGGUGGAAUUCCGCGUGUAGCAGUGAAAUGCGUAGAUAUGCGGAGGAACACCGAUGGCGAAGGCAGCCUCCUGGGAUAACACUGACGCUCAUGCACGAAAGCGUGGGGAGCAAACAGG
rnacentral:rRNA from 1 species